AAAGUCGUAACAAGGUCUCCGUAGGUGAACCUGCGGAGGGAUCAUUACACAACAAAAUAUGAAGGUCUGGCUUCGCGGCCGGCUGAAAUAUUUUUUCACCCAUGUCUUUUGCGCACUUGUUGUUUCCUGGGCGGGUUCGCCCGCCACCAGGACCAAACCAUAAACCUUUUUUUUUAUGCAGUUGCAAUCAGCGUCAGUAAAAACAAUGUAAUUAAUUACAACUUUCAACAACGGAUCUCUUGGUUCUGGCAUCGAUGAAGAACGCAGCGAAAUGCGAUACGUAGUGUGAAUUGCAGAAUUCAGUGAAUCAUCGAAUCUUUGAACGCACAUUGCGCCCUUUGGUAUUCCAAAGGGCAUGCCUGUUCGAGCGUCAUUUGUACCUUCAAGCUUUGCUUGGUGUUGGGCGUUUUUGUCUCCCUCUUUCUGGGAGACUCGCCUUAAAACGAUUGGCAGCCGGCCUACUGGUUUCGGAGCGCAGCACAUAAUUUGCGCUUUGUAUCAGGAGAAAAGGACGGUAAUCCAUCAAGACUCUACAUUUUUAACUUUUGACCUCGGAUCAGGUAGGGAUACCCGCUGAACUUAAGCA
rnacentral:rRNA from 2 species